UACGUAGGGUGCAAGCGUUGUCCGGAAUUAUUGGGCGUAAAGAGCUCGUAGGCGGUCUGUCGCGUCGGAAGUGAAAACCCGGGGCUCAACCCCGGGCCUGCUUUCGAUACGGGCAGACUAGAAUUCGGCAGGGGAGUCUGGAAUUCCUGGUGUAGCGGUGAAAUGCGCAGAUAUCAGGAGGAACACCGGUGGCGAAGGCGGGUCUCUGGGCCGAUACUGACGCUGAGGAGCGAAAGCGUGGGGAGCGAACAGG
rnacentral:rRNA from 1 species